rnacentral:rRNA from 1 species
UACGUAGGGGGCAAGCGUUGUCCGGAAUCAUUGGGCGUAAAGCGCGCGUAGGUGGCUUUGUAAGUCCGUUGUGAAAGUCAAAGGCUCAACCUUUGAAUGCCGAUGGAUACUGCGGAGCUAGAGUACGGAAGAGGCGAGUGGAAUUCCUGGUGUAGCGGUGGAAUGCGCAGAUAUCAGGAGGAACACCAAUAGCGAAGGCAGCUCGCUGGGACGUUACUGACACUAAGGCGCGAAAGCGUGGGGAGCGAACAGG